rnacentral:rRNA from 1 species
AUACGGAGGAUGCAAGCGUUAUCCGGAUUUAUUGGGUUUAAAGGGUGCGUAGGCGGAUGAUUAAGCGUGAGGUGAAAUGCCACUGCUCAACAGUGGAACUGCCUCGCGAACUGGUUGUCUUGACUGCUCCUGCCGUGGGAGGAAUGUGUGGGGGAGCGGUGAACUGCAUAGAGAUCACACAGAACACCGAUUGCGAAGGCAUCUCACGAAGGGGUGAUUGACGCUGAGGCACGAAAGCGUGGGGAUCAAACAGGAUUAGAUACCCUGGUAGUCCACGCAGUAAACGAUGAUGGCUAACCGCUGGGCUUAUCAGUUCAGUGGCCAAGCGAAAGCGAUAAGCCAUCCACCUGGGGAGUACGACCGCAAGGUUGAAACUCAAAUGAAUUGACGGGG